rnacentral:tRNA from 1 species
GGCCUUGUAGCUCAGCUGAUUGAGUAUGCGCGUACAAAGCGUAGGCGGUGUCCGUGCGUCGGUUCAAAUCCCACUGAGGCUA